AUGUUUGCAGUGCCUCUGUUUACCCAGAAAACCCAGAGCGACGUGGACAGAACAGAGACAGCGAAAUUUUCACUGCAGCGUGGCCGUGGUCUGAAUGUAUGUGCACUCCAAAGCUCCUGUAGAAACUUCAUCCCCAGCACAGCAGCAUCCAGGGGGACUUUAAGAGGCGACUGCAUCCUGGGGGCUCAGGAAUGGAUUCCUUUAUCCAUAGACUCAUGGACUAACAGGCUGUUGGGGUGUGGGACUGGUGGCUUUACAGGCAGAGGGAGUGAGGGAGUGCUUAGCACUCCCCCUCACCAUUCGAUUCCCUGGUGUGAGAGGAGGAAGACAGCGCUGGAAUGUCCAUUGCAGGCAAAAUGCCAGGAGCGUUCCGACAGAGACGGGGACGGCCUCAGAGUGCAGGGGCUGCUGAAAGGAAGGACCUCACACUGGGAGACUCCCGACAGCAGAAAUGUGUCCCCACAGUCCCAGAGGUCACAUGUCUCAGGCUGCGCUGCCUCUGGAGGCUACAGGGGAGGGCCCUUCCCACCUCUUCCAGUUUCCGUGGCCCUCGUGCCCCUGGGCUUGUGGCUGCAUCACUCUAGGUCUGCCAUCUCUGCGUGGCUUCUCCUCUCUGUGUGUCUUGGAGUCAAACCCUCCUGAUGUUUUAACACCUGUCAGUGGAUUUAGGGCACAUAGUCCAGGACACAGUCACCUCAAAAUCCUCCACUGGAUUCUACCUGCAAAGACCCUUUUUCUGAAGAAUUUCAUGCUCCCAGGUUCUGUGGGCCACGCAGAACAGCAAGACCCGGGCUGAGAUGUCUUCAGUAUGUCAGCUGGAGGUGGAGGUCAGAUGAGAAACCGGAUACUGGCAGAAUCCUGGGGGUCCUCUACCAGAUGACGUCACCCUCAGAGGAGAGCAGUGACUUUGAGUGGGGAGCCCUGGCAGGCCCCAGCCCAGCCUGGGUGUGCCAGCCUCACCAUGACCUGGGCCUCUGUGGCUGCACUAAGAGAGCACCACACACCCCUGCCACGGCCUCCCAAACAGCAGGGGCUCUUGGCUCUCGCCCUGAGGACACCUCCAUAAGAAAGGCCUGUUCUGUCUGACACUCUGUGGGCAGGAAAACAAGGUGAGUCUGAGAGGGCCCAGGUCCACAGCUAUGUGCCGUGUGUGACCCUGGAAUGGAUCCUGGUGUAUCAAGGAAAAAGUGCCACUGCCAAGACAGUCGGUGGUGUGGCUUUGGCUCAGGAACCACCCACUGAGGUCAGACACCUGGGGACUUGAUUCUUACAAUCUGAACACAGUUUUCCCAGACCUAGAGUUUGUAUUUAUUCUUCUGUAACCUUAAAUACUGAGAAGAGAACCUUAGAUAUAUAGAAACGUGUAAAUGUACACGGUUCGCUGUCUCCUCAUACUGUUCCUAACCUUCUGAAAGUCUCAGUUCGUCACCUCCUGAAAUCCUAUCCAUCUGCAGAGGUUCGUUUCAAAUAAAGUUUUUCAUGGGAAGAAUUGCUAUUUAUGU
rnacentral:lncRNA from 13 species